UAGGGAAUAUUGGACAAUGGGCGCAAGCCUGAUCCAGCCAUCCCGCGUGAAGGAUGAAGGCCCUCUGGGUCGUAAACUUCUUUUAUCUGGGAAUAAAAACUCGUAUUUAUAUGAGCUUGAAGGUACCAGAGGAAUAAGCACCGGCUAACUCCGUGCCAGCAGCCGCGGUAAUACGGAGGGUGCAAGCGUUAUCCGGAUUCACUGGGUUUAAAGGGUGCGUAGGUGGCUUUGUAAGUCAGUGGUGAAAGCCCGGAGCUUAACUCCGGAACUGCCAUUGAUACUGCUUAGCUUGAAUCGAGUAGAGGUGGAUGGAAUAUCACAUGUAGCGGUGAAAUGCUUAGAUAUGUGAUAGAACACCGAUUGCGAAGGCAGUUCACUAUGCUCGUAUUGACACUGAGGCACGAAAGCGUGGGGAUCAAACA
rnacentral:rRNA from 1 species